GAGAGAGAGAGAGAGAGAGAGAGAGAGAGAGAGAGAGAGAGAGAGAGAGAGGUGUUUUAUUUUAAANCAAACCAACACUUGGAACUUUCCUGCAUUUUCUGAGGCGCAACUCCGCAAUCAUUUUCUUUGUGAAGAAUCUACUUCACGAGAAGAUUACUCUCAUCUUUCCUUUCCUCACCGCCUCGCCCACUUUUUACUAACUAAAGUAGUUCUUCCUCGCGACGGUCACCACACCGCUGUUCAAAAAAUGGAUCUUUUUCUACUUCAUCAUCUAUUUGCGGGGAUCCGGGUAAAUUUGGGGUAUAUCAUCAUUCGCCACAUGGCCGUCGCCAUUUCUCAUCCCUCGCGCUCACUUCCAUAUGGCUCUUUGCUCACCGCUGUUCUCGAGUUCAUGUCAUUUGAUCUUUCUGACGUAAGGCCGAUGAAGUACCCCACUGCCAUUUCUACAGCCACUUUCUCCACUCUCGGCUUCAAGAAAAAUCGUCAUGGCAUUUGGGUAAGGAAACAUGUAAUUGAUUCGCCUAGCGAGCAUGGUGACGACAUUGACGACGCCGAGGAUGAUCCUAUGCCUUAUGAGCCGCCCCCUCGAGCACCUCCUCCACCGGUUGAGCCGCCGCCACGAGCAUCUCCUCUACCAUUUGAGCCACCCCCUGCUGUGCCUCCGCCCUAUGUUCCUCUACCUAUGGAUUUUCAAAACUAGGUUUUUGAUCGACUUGAUAGGAUGGAAGACCAUAUGCAUGCUCUCCAGACGGAUGUUUCCGGCAUCAAGGCAUACAUGGACUCUAUCUUUGGACCUUCUAGUGCCUUCUAUGCCGCGUAUGGACCCCACGUUGAUCGACCAUCAUCCUCCUCUAUGCCUCCACCAGUUCCGCCUACGGAUCAUGAGGACGAUGAAGAGGAUGACGAUGAUGAUGAUUAGCUUAUGUUUCUACCACUUUUUGCUAGUCUCCUUUUAUGCUUUUUUUUUGUGAUGACAAAGGGGGAGAACGUGCUAUGUGAUAAACUAUGCUAUGCUUGUGGUUUAUUAUGUUAUGGUUUAUUAUGCUCCUUAUGGUUUAUUAUGUUAUGGUUUAUUAUGCUCCUUAUGUUUUAUUAUGUUAGGCUAUGUGAAUCUCGUUUAUAUUUUGACAUUUGCCUACAUGAUUGCUUACUUCUUUUAUUGUGAUAUAUGCUAUGCCUAUGAUUGUGUUUUAUGCUUGUUAAAUAUAUGCAUAUAUUUAGGGGGAGUAUUCUAUUUUUUUUGCUCUCUACUCAUUUGAAUAUUAUAUCACAUUAUUUGUCAUCAUCAAAAAGGGAGAGAUUGUUGGCCCAGUGGCCUUAAUCGUCUAUUAGAUUUUGAUGAUAACAAAUAAUCACGAUUAUUGGACUAAUCUUUUAUCUUGAGUCUUGUGUUUUAGAUCUCUCUAUCUUCAAAAAGGAUUCAAGAUGGCCAAUAUUCUAGCACCAAGCUUCACCACUUGAAACUGUGUUUGCUUCUUUUGUCAAAUAGACAAACUCACUCUCUCCAUUCUUAAUUUGAUUAAUAUUAUGCUUUAUAUUUAGAGUGAGAAACUUUGAGCUAAGUUUUAUCACCUUAUAGAUCACUUAAACAAAUUUUUAAAUUUAUGAUUAAGUAAAAAGGACUUUUAAAUAUUCAAAAAUUGCUCAAACUCUGUGUUCUGUAAAGUUGCAAAUUUUGGACCCUGUUCUGGGCGCCCUAAAGUGGAUCCGAAUCUUUUGAGACCUUUUGGAUCCUGCCUGUUUGCUGUUCGGGUGAUCCACACCAUACUGGGUUGUACCCGGUUACAACCCGGUUUGGUGGGGAAACACUUGUUCCCACCAAACUUUUUUUCUUGUUGGGUAUAAAGGGGAGGAUAUCCCCCUUUUAUCCCCCUUUAUACCCGAACCAAACGGGAGUGUUAAAGCUUUAUAAUUCUCUCAUUUUAGGCACCCAUAUGUCAAGACACCAGUUUGUUAUUAUUAUAAAACUUUAAAAAAACGCAAACUAUUCAUGAUUAUUAAUCAAAACGACCAUUAUCAAUAGUCACAAUUUUGUAAUAAUGUAAUUCUUAUUAUUUUGAAUAUCAUUUUUAUGAAUGUAAACUGGAUUAAUAUAUACAAAAUAUUAGUAUAUUGCUAAUAUUGUACUUAUCUAUAAAAUAUAUAUUAAGUUACAGCUCAUGUAAUGUUGUUCAUCUAUUUUGUCAUCUUUUCUUAUGUGAGUAAGAGAAUCUGAAAUUGAUUAAAAAAACUAAUAAAUCAAGACUUGGCAUAGCUUAAAGGCUAGAGCGUGUUUAAUUAUGUAACUUUAAACUUGGCAUAUUUUAAUAUUAAAAAUUUAAAUUUAAAUUUCUUCAAAUGAAAAAUUCUAAAUAUCUCAAAAUCAAAAUAAAAAAAUUUAAGUUGAAAUAAAAAUUAGAGUACAUCUUAAAAUUUGAAUUUUUCAAUCAAAUUUCAAACUUUAAAAUAAAAUUUCAAAUUCUGAUUUGUAUUGGUUAGUUAAAAUUUUUAAUUAUAAACUUAAUUCUAAUUUAAAUUCAAAUAAUUUGAAUUCUUAUCUUGUUGAACAAAGUAAAACGUGAAAGUUAGAAAACACCAAAAUAUGAAAUAAAAAAUAAAACGCAAGUAUGGCGGCUGACAUUACGGAUUGUCGUUAAUUUAACGACUUCUUUUUUAGACGGUGUGAGAACAGUAAUUCAUAAUGAUAACUUUUGAAUUUUUUUUAAAAAAAAAAGAACCAAAAUAAAAAAUAUGUUGCAUAAGGUUAGAGAUCAACGGGUGCAUUUUAAUCAUUAACUAAAAUAUCGUAUGAAUUCGUCAAUACUCGUUAAAAAUAAGGAGAGACCUUCUUUGAUUGUUGUGCUUUUAUCGUUUUAUAAAAUUGUAUAGAUGCGAACACGCCAAUACAUGGUUUGAUGCAGCUAAGUACAGGAGUAUGUUCAUCGCCUAUUCUAUUGUCCCGAGCUUUGAAUGAGAUUUCGACUAUCAUUAGUAAGAGCAUAAAUGUUACACCGGGCACAAUCUUGUCUUGAUAUUGUGUUUUGAACCGUUGGGUAGUAUGGAGGGGCAAGAGGAUGCCCGACGAACGUCAUAUCAUCUUUACGUAAUCAUACAUAGGGCUGCCCGAUGUGUCCCUACGAGCAAAAAUGGCAGAAGGAUUGAUAGGUUGGUACCUGGUUCCAAGUUCGAAUUCUAGAUUGAUUCAUUAUUUCAAGUAAGUUUAUUUCUAAAUGAAUAAACGAGCGGGCAGUUAACAUGCUACUCCUAUCUACUCAAAAAAACAAAUUAUCAUAGGUUGCGUUUGGAGAUGCUGGAAAGAUUAAGUCAUGUGCGUAUGAGAAAGUACAUAAAAAAAUUCAUCAGUUAUUUCUGUUAUAUAAGUAUUGCGUUCAGCCCAUAUCCUGAUGAGUCGGUUACGAUAUAUCUUUCUGCGCUCGCCAACGCGAGAGUCGCAAAAGCAUAAUCUCUAUUCAUAAUUUACCUGUGCCCAUAUCUCAUUUUAUCUGAUUAGCGAUUAGAUAAACCUCAAUUACCAAACUAAGCCUUAGGAGUUCUAUCAACCCUACUUUUACUCUCAAUCUUUACCACGAAAGGUAUUGUAAUCUUAUGUUUAAGAAUGGUAUAUUGCUUUUUGCCAACUUCGAUUUGUUGCGAGAAAUAUCGUGAAGUAUAAGCUGGUUCUUUUUUUAUUUCCUGACUGGUUUUGGCAUGCAGGAACUUAUCACAUCCAAUUGCGCAUAUCUAGCAGUUUCUAGUGUUAGGUUUUUAAGGUAAAAUGAUGCAUAUAUAUUCCAGUAGGUUGCUUGCGCUUUCAACCUUACUAUGUAUUAGUUGAUUUUGCGUCGCAGCGUAAUCUUAUUUCAAAUUGGUUUUUUGGAUUGCGAUUAUGCUUAAUUUUGGACACUAUUAGCUUCUCAUGAGCUUUCACAUUGCGACAAAGGCUACAGAAGCUAAUGAAGAAGUGGAUGGACAAGCAAGGUUAAUUGCUGCGUAAGGACCUCAAAGAAAUUCGCAAACUGGAGUCGUAAGCACGCAAAAGAGGGUCCAUAUGUUAGUUUCACUUAUAAGUAAGAACAAAAGGUAGGGCCUCCGUUUUCCAGAAGCACUAUUAAAAAUUUGGUUGGAAGGUGCCGCGUACACUUUGCCUUUGAUAGGCACGGACGUGACGAGGCCGUUCUCGAGUAGUAUUCCGAGAAGAUUUUUGUCGCGGCUCUCAUCGAGGAAAUUCCUUCACACAAUUGUGCUUUGCUGUUUGAAAGUGGAGUUGGUGAUGAAUAUUAGGAGCACUCAGAGAUGUGUUUUUCAUGCACUUAUAAUAGCAAUGCUUUUUAGAGCCUUGACCUCGAUUGUUUACAGCCCAGAGUAAUGUAAUUAACCAGGACAUAAGGCAUUGGUAUAAUAAUGAAAAGUAAUUGUGUUCUGUUGUAAUAAUUUUGUUUGAAGAUCUGAAAAUUUACUGAUGACUAGAUGCCGUUUAAGCUAGGUGUAACUACAAGUGACAAUUUCACUCCUCCAUCAAUUAUUUCAUAUUUUUACAUUGUACAUGCAAGUGCAGUGAACAAGGUAAGAAAAGAUAAUCGGAAACGGGGAAAAGAAAAACACCGGAAAUAUAUAACAAAGACCGAAAUAAAGAAAAAAUUCCCAGAAUAAAACCAAAAGGAAAAAAGAAAAAAAGGAUGUCGAAAGAGACAACCUACAGGCUAAUCAAAGGAUGAUUAUAGUUGCAAGAAUUUAUUCAGCAAAUCCCUUCUUUAUAGCUCUCUUUAGAAGCAGUUACUUGAUCCCUUCGACGAAUGUGACGGACAAGUUGCAUGUGAGACACUAAUUGCUAUACACUUCCCAGCAUAACCGCGAUCAAUAUGGCAACUUUAAAAAGAUAGAAGAGGACCGCUCUUUGAAAAUCUAGAAUUUAAAUCUUCUCNNNNNNNNNNNNNNNNNNNNNNNNNGGAACACUUGUUCCCACCCGGGGGUGGAACAACUUGUUCCACCCCCUGGUACAAGGCAGAGAGAGAGAGAGAGAGAGAGAGAAAGAGAGAGAGAGAGAGAGAGGUGUUUUAUUUUAAAUUUAAAUAUAAAUUUUUAAAAUUUAUAAAUUUAAAAUUAAAAUUUAUAAAUUAAAAUUUUUAAUUUUUAAAGUUUAAAUUUUAAAUUUGAUAUUUUUAGUUUUUAAAUUUUAUAAAUUUGUUAUUUUAUAUCUUUGAAUUUUAAUUUGGUUUUAACUUUGAAAUUUAAAAUUAAAUUAUUGAAAAUUUAAAAUUUAAUUUUAAAAUUUAAAACUUAAAACUUUAGGACUUUAAUUUAAAAUUAUAUAUUUAAAAUUUAAAAAUAUAAUUUCAAUUAUAGGGGUAAUAUUAUUAUUUUCUAUUUAUAACUACUAACUAUUCCUCUUAUUCCCAAAAACCAUCCAAACGCAAUUUUUCUAGUUCCAGCUUAUACUCACAAUUUCACCCAAACAAAAAAAUACUCUUGUUCCUACAAAAAUCCAUACUUGUACCUAUCCCCGGUAUAACUAGUUCCUACUAAUUCCUGAACCAAACGGAGCCAUAGUAUAUUAUAAAUAUAUUUUUAUAAAAUUUACUUUUUAUAUAUUGAUUUUAUUAAUGUCGCAAUAUUUUUAAAUACAUUAUUGUGGUUAGAAUCUAUUAGAAAAUUUUAAUUAAUCAUAGAUUAAAUACUUAACUCUGAUUAGUUUAUGAGAUAAUUCGAUAUCUUUGCUCCUUUUAUAUUAUACUGUUGUGAUUUUUGAAGUGACAUUU
rnacentral:lncRNA from 1 species